GCCCAGCUAGCUCAGUUGGUAGAGCAUGGGACUCUUAAUCCCGGGGUUGUGAGUUCAAGCCCCAUGUUGGGCA